GGGGGACAUCAGACUGAUGGAAGGACUGUCUCUCAGUGGGGGACAUCAGAGUGAUGGAAGGACUGCCUCUCAGUGGGGGGACAUCAGAGUGAUGGAAGGACUGCCUCUCAGUGGGGGACAUCAGACUGAUGGAAGGACAGUCUCUCAGUGGGGGGAUGGAAGGACAUCAGACUGCCUCUCAGUGGGGGGACAUCAGACUGAUGGAAGGACAGUCUCUCAGUGGGGGACAUCAGACUGAUGGAAGGACAGUCUCUCAGUGGGGGGACAUCAGACUGCCUCUCAGUGGGGGGACAUCAGACUGAUGGAAGGACAGUCUCUCAGUGGGGGGACAUCAGACUGAUGGAAGGACAGUCUCUCAUGGGGGGACAUCAGACUGCCUCUCAGUGGGGGGACAUCAGACUGCCUCUCAGUGGGGGACAUCAGACUGAUGGAAGAACAGUCUCUCAGUGGGG
ensembl:lncRNA